CCUACGGGUGGCAGCAGUGGGGAAUAUUGGACAAUGGGGGCAACCCUGAUCCAGCGACGCCGCGUGAGUGAAGAAGUAUUUCGGUACGUAAAGCUCUAUCAGCAGGAAAGAAAAUGACGGUACCUGACUAAGAAGCCGCGGCUAACUACGUGCCAGCAGCCGCGGUAAUAAGGAGGGGGCAAGCAUUAUCCGGAUUUACUGGGGGUAAAGGGAGCGUAGACGGCAGUGCAAGUCUGGAGUGAAAGGCGUGGGCUCAACCCACGGACUGCUCUGGAAACUGUACGGCUGGAGUGCAGGAGAGGUAAGUGGAAUUCCUAGUGUAGCGGUGAAAUGCGUAGAGAUUAGGAGGAACACCAGUGGCGAAGGCAGCUUACCAAGCUACUUCUGACGUUGAGGCACGAAAGCGUGGGGAGCAAACAGGAUUAGAUACCCGAGUAGUC
rnacentral:rRNA from 1 species